UUCAAUCUCAUUAUUUGCAUGUUUAAUUUAAUAUUCAUGCAAUUAAUUGUGCUUUCAAUUAGUGUGGAAGUUGAUAUGUUUGAUUUUGUGCAUGUACUUUAUUUUUUCUAUUUUCUGUUAGAAAUUAAUUUACUUUUCCUUGGAAAUCGUUGAGCUCCUAGAAGUUUUUGCCUUUUUUCUUAAUUUGAUCGAAAUCCAUUUCUUACCCACAUAACCUAGAGUCUCCUGAUGAGUUUUUCGUCGUUCUCAGUGUGUCUGAUUUAAUUUAAUUUUUUUUUUUUCGAUUUACAGAUGGAUUUUGUGUUUAAAUUUUCUUUUUAUAAUUUUGGGGGUUUUGUUUAUGUGCUCGGAUGCUGUGUGUGGCUGUCUGAUUUCGUUCUUUUUUUGCUUUCAGCAAACGCUGGUGUUCUUAUUUUGGGGUUUUGCUGAGGGUAUAUAAUUUGUUGAAAUAUUUAGUUUUUAAUACAUUAACAAUUUUGCUGGGUCAGUUUUUGUUACCGACUGUUUUUUUUUUUUUUUUUUUUUAACUUUCGAUCUCCUUCUAUUUGAGUGGUAUGCUGGUAUACAAUUUAUUGUCCUAAAUUCACAAUCUUACACUUCACAAAUUUCACUGCUCAACCUAUACUCAGUCUACGUUCAUUUUGAUUGAGUUGUUUUAAGGAUUUUGUGGGAGGACUCCCUUUGGAAUUGCCGAAUGCUGUUAUUUGUCGGGUGGAUGCCUUGGACGUAGAGUUAAUUCCUACUAAAAAGUCAUUUCGAACUCGGAUUCAGCCAGCCUGUGAUCUGUGCAAAAUAUCCAUAUAUGGAUCAGUGCCAUGGACUCUUCUCAACCUAUGGACCUCAAAUCUCAUAUACGAACAUAAAAAAAAGCCUCCAAACCUCCAAAGACAGUAGCAAGAUCUUUGUUGAUGGUAAGCUAUUAUUCUCUGAGAUCUGUUUCUUUUUGUUUAUUUCACAUGUGUGGCUAUUUAUUGAAAUUUGAUUUGUCAAGAACUGGAGAUGGUCUCGAUUUUAAGGUUAAAAUUGAAUCAUCCAUGAUUUUAAAAUAAUGGUAUUUUUAUUAAACCUAUAACGAUGGACGUGUAGGUUAUACAUGCGGAUUGUCACAUUAUUGUAGUUCUCAAUUGAUUUAUGGUAGGUAGUUCUCAAUUGAUUUAUGGUAUGUGUGUGAUUUUAGAUUGUAAUGUAUCACAAAUUUGUGGCAUGAAAAUUGAUAUUUGUAGACUUACCCUUUAUUUUUUGGCUGUGAUGGGGGAAAGGAAAAUAAAAUUUCAAAGAUUGAUACUUUUAUGUGAUUUCUUGGCUCUUUUUUUCAUAUGAUUUUCAUUGUAUGUGUGCCAGUGUAUGUCUCUUCUUGAAAAAUGCAUGUUGAAAAUGGGAGAAUUUUGGACAUUGACAUGUUUAGAAGUCAGGUUUUCUGAAUGAAGAUACUCUUAUGAUUUGUUUGUAAUUUGUUUUGCAAAUGGGUAGGAAUGUCAUUCUAAAAGGAUAUUGGCAGGAGGGGGUGGAAUGUCAUUCUAAGAUAUAUAUAUAUAUCAGCAGCAAGGGUGUGGAAGCUCACACGCUCAGAUUUCAACGCGUUUCGAAGGUGGAAAUGACAAGAAUGUGCAGUGUGGACCUCCAAUUUCUAGUGCUAUGAUGCAUGAGGACUGCCAAAGUGAGAAUACUGGUUAGUUGUCAUCAAGCAGCCCUUGUAGAUGUGUAUUUUGUUUAUAUAUUGCUAGUUUAACCAUUAGUACGUUUGACUUGGGGAUACAAGCUUGGAUAUGUUAUAUUUUGUUGUAUAUAGAGAAUCCCGGGUAUGUCCAGCAUAGGAUAACAUGUAUUUUUUGGUUUAACAUUUGGAUGGGUUGUAUUGUUAGGUUGCAUGAAUUGGUCUUAGCCGAGAACAUGGGUUAUGUAAUAUAUUGACUUCACUAUGUUAGUGCUAAUGUUGAUUUAUGUUUAGUUUGUAAUGGAUGAUUUGUAAGUUUCUAAAUUUAGGUGGAAAUUAGGUUCUAUGAGCAA